CGGCCAGUCACGCACGGGUCGGCGACCACGCGGGCUGCCCGUCCAGCGCGGCCUUGCAGGCAGAGACACAGGGAGGCGCUCGCUGCACGGAGCUGGCGCACUUGCAAUUUGCUGGAUCACCUUUAUCACUCGUGCCACGUUUCUUCAACGCAGUGCCUGAAUAUGAUAGUUCUUUAGAACUCUCAGGAGAAACUUCCGUAGGUUGGGCUGCAGAAACCUGCGUUAACGCUGCCCACAUACGAGCGACGUUCAUGGUGUGCAUCACAUGGACACCAGCCGUGGUGAUAUGAAACAAGCCGUCGUGGACCUCGUCAGCUCAGAAAUCGCAACUAGAGUUUUGUGGCCACCAUAGAAGACGACAUGAGGGGUGGACAACUCGGCCUCUUCUGCCUGGUCUGCCUGCUGAUCCUGCUCAUCCUGCUCCUCCGCUUCUCUAAAAGGCUCCGGCAACAACUGGCGGUGGGCUACGUGCCGGCGGUGGUGUGGCCGGCGGGCGUGUGGCUGGUGCGCCGCCCCCCGGCCGCCGCCCACCAGCCGGCGCAGCUGCAGCUGGUGGCCGUCCACCCCCACCUCCACCCCCAGCCCG